UACAUGGCUGAAAACCAAUAAAAUUUGUGCCGGCAUUUGUCCGCUGCUCUUUGUUUCCUAGUACUUCAUUGGUGGUUCACGUUGCAGUUGUUAAUCGCGGUUAUUAUGGGUGAUUUUGUCCGUGUGUGUAUGGUGACCGAGCCGGAUUGAAUUCGAAGGAGGCCACAGAUGGAACCGCCGAUGGGCAGCUUUGUUUACUUUCAAGAUCAAGACCGAUUGAUGCUGAAAGUUUGCUGAAAACAACAAGACAGAAAAUACGGGAUGUGGGCUUUGGAAGGACCAGUUGAUGAAAAAAACCAAUGUCUGUGCUGCACAGCAAGGCUUGUGGCAGUUCUGAAAGCAUCGAUAGGUAUGCUGUCUGUACUGUUGGAAUUGCACCAGCCCGCUUCCCUGCAAGAACCUACGUGCUCAAGAAGCACUUGACUACCUACCUGGAUCAUCAUUGUGACAUUCUGCAUCAUCAUUUGGCCUAAUUUGGAAUCCUACAAGACACGCUGCUACCCUGCGUUUUGUUCCUCGGUCAAUUGGAGAAGUUCUGCAAGCCCCAUGGAAACCAGCUGUCAUCCCUAUCCAAUGGAAGAAAUUCAUUGUUGCGACCCUCAUCAUUCAUCCUAAGCUGAAGCUAAAAACCAGAGCAGAAACAGCACAUACUCUGCAAGGGUUUACCAUAACACGCGGUCGGGUGCCUACACCCGACAGGCUACUGUCUAGAAUACAGGUGGGGUGUUAGUCUAGAAUAUAUUUGUAAGCAAUACUACUGCUUCUGUUUGCAAGAUCAGAGUUCACGCUGUAUUUGCACAUUACCAAAGUGCAAAAAGACGAGCAUAAUGUUAAGUUGUUUUAGAAAAAAAUAAUCGCACUUCGAUUGACCAGAAAUUAUUAAUGGGUGCAUGUUAUUUUAAUAAAUAUGGCUGAAGAAUAAGAACCUGGAUAAAAAAUACUAUCACUUCAGCUACACCGUGUCUAUGAAGAAAAAUGCAUGCAGUCAAACUGCUUUUAGUGCUGAUGUUUUAGCUGAUAGGAUGUCAGAUGCGGUAGGAUAUACAUCUUAGCCAGAAUAUUGUGACAACUAUUGUAGUGCAGCAGGACACAUUAACUGGAGCUCUUCACUUGCACACCUAUGCAAGCGCGUCACACACAGCACACUUGGAAAGGAAGUUGCUCUGCGUGCUUUUGUUGGCAGCCUGGUUCCUGCAUAGGACAAGGGGUUGGUGAUAAAUAUACAAUGAUGCUAAGGCGCAUGAAAAGAAGCUUAGGUACUGUAUUCGUUUUCUUUAUUUUACUUUUCGUACUGAAUAAAUUCGUUCAAGACCUUUAUGUUCUAGAGCGCGAUUUUUUUUUACUUGAAUAAGCUCAUACUUUUUUAUUUAUAUUUGUAAAGAAACAUUUUUCAGCUGGUUUGGUGCUUGCGCAGCCAGACCGACAUACAGCGGUCUAACACUUACAUAAUGAACCGUCUAGAGAGCUGGAAUGUUCACAACAAGGAUAUGCGAGAUACAUCUGCUACCACUUGCUAGCAAUGUCUGUACUAGGAGCUGUCACUGCACUGCUACAGCUUUAUUUAUGACAAUAAGAAAUAAUGUGAUGUGCAAAAUGUAUACUCUGUUGUUUUGUUAUUGUGUUUUUUUACUCAAAUAAAACAUUU